CACCGCGGUCAUACGAGUGUUAGCCCAAGCAGAUAAUCAACGGCGUAAAGAGUGAUUAGGGAUUCCACAAAACUAAAGCUGAACGCCCGCAAGGCCGUAAUACGCAUCCGAUAGCAUGAAACCCCACCACGAAAGUGGCUUUAACCCAACCCGAACCCACGACAGCUAGGGCACAAA
rnacentral:rRNA from 1 species